rnacentral:rRNA from 1 species
AGUGAACGCUGGCGGUAGGCCUAACACAUGCAAGUCGAGCGGCAGCACAGUAAGAGCUUGCUCUUACGGGUGGCGAGUGGCGGACGGGUGAGGAAUACAUCGGAAUCUACUUUUUCGUGGGGGAUAACGUAGGGAAACUUACGCUAAUACCGCAUACGACCUACGGGUGAAAGCAGGGGAUCUUCGGACCUUGCGCGAUUGAAUGAGCCGAUGUCGGAUUAGCUAGUUGGCGGGGUAAAGGCCCACCAAGGCGACGAUCCGUAGCUGGUCUGAGAGGAUGAUCAGCCACACUGGAACUGAGACACGGUCCAGACUCCUACGGGAGGCAGCAGUGGGGAAUAUUGGACAAAGGGCGCAAGCCUGAUCCAGCCAUACCGCGUGGGUGAAGAAGGCCUUCGGGUUGUAAAGCACUUUUGUUGGGAAAGAAAAGCAGCAGGUUAAUACCCCGCUGUUCUGACGGUACCCAAAGAAUAAGCACCGGCUAACUUCGUG